rnacentral:rRNA from 1 species
UGUUUGGAGAGUUUGAUUCUGGCUCAGGACGAACGCUGGCGGCGUGCUUAACACAUGCAAGUCGAACGGAAAGGCCCUUUCGGGGGUACUCGAGUGGCGAACGGGUGAGUAACACGUGGGUGAUCUGCCCUGCACUUCGGGAUAAG